rnacentral:lncRNA from 1 species
CUGGAACACUGAGUGACUCCACUCUCAGCUCUGUAUCUGGAACACUGAGUGACUCCACUCUCAGUUCUGUAUCUGGAACACUGAGUGACUCCACUCUCAGCUCUGUAUCUGGAACACUGAGUGACUCACCCAUGUCUUCUAGUAGCAUAACCCUUGGAGAUGCAGGAUUGACCCCUCUAACCUCGCUGACUCCUUCCUUGAAUUCUGACACAGGCCUGAUGUCACUUCCUGUCACUGAUCCAUCAACUUUAGCUCAGCACCUGACGCUGGCGUUCACCUCUCCCACCGUGCAUGCUAGUCCCUCAACAGUACCCCAGGAUCCCCAAUUCACCCUCUCCAUCAUCCUGACCACCAAGCACCCUUACUUUAACCCAACGGUCUCUAGUCUCCACAGAACUGAUGAUGCACCGACCCAGUCUGGCUCUAGAGGAACCACAUCUACACACAGACCUGUAGUGCUGUUAGCGACGCCUCGCGCUCCCUCACCAUCAGCGACCCAGUUUCAAACAAGGCCAUUGUAUAUUUCUGUUAGCACAGGGUCUGAGGUAGGUUCCCCUGAUAUGGCCCCUGAAAUGUCCCUCGAUAAGUCACCUGAAAUGUCCCCUGUAAAUUCCUCUGAAAUGUCAACUGAAAUGUUCUCUGAAAUGUCCCCUAUAAUGUCCCUUGUAACGUCCCCUGAUACAGCAGAGGGAGCCUUGUCCUCAACAUGGACCUCACUGUUUGUCGGCUCACCCGAUCCUACUGCGACAGGCGAGACAGAUCACAUUUUUCAAACACACCCCACAGCCCAGGUCCACUCCACAGCCCAGGUCCACCCCACAGCCCAGGUCCACUCCACAGCCCAGGUCCACUCCACAGCCCAGGUCCACUCCACAGCCCAGGUCCACCCCACAGCCCAGGUCCACUCCACAGCCCAGGUCCACUCCACAGCCCAGGUCCACCCCACAGCCCAGGUCCACUCCACAGCUCAGGUCCACUCCAGUUCACCUGAACAUCUGACACCACUUGAUGCUUCUGCUGAUAUUACACACACGCCUGCUGAGAACACUGCAUCUCAGCCAAAUACAGAG